CGGGUGAGUAACACGUGGAUAACCUACCUAUAAGACUGGGAUAACUUCGGGAAACCGGAGCUAAUACCGGAUAAUAUUUUGAACCGCAUGGUUCAAAAGUGAAAGACGGUCUUGCUGUCACUUAUAGAUGGAUCCGCGCUGCAUUAGCUAGUUGGUAAGGUAACGGCUUACCAAGGCAACGAUGCAUAGCCGACCUGAGAGGGUGAUCGGCCACACUGGAACUGAGGCACGGUCCAGACUCCUACGGGAGGCAGCAGC
rnacentral:rRNA from 1 species